AAAAAAUCAAAACCUGGGUUUCCGUGUCCAACUUUAUCUGUCCGUUUUAUAUGAAAGUUUUUUAUAAUUCGUAUUUUUAUUAUUGUUAGAUGAUAAAACAUGAUUAAUAUUUUAUACGUGACUUGCCUUUUUAAUUUUUUUAUAAUUUUUUUAAUAAGACGGACGGUCAAACGUUGGACACGGAAACAUGCUUGUC
rnacentral:pre_miRNA from 1 species